AUCUCACCUCAAUCGAUAAACUUUCGUUCAGUUUCUUGCAGGAGGCCGAGAUGGUCUCUGAGGUGGCAAAUUCAAAAUACCACAGCUUGUUCUUCAUCCUGCAGGCAAGAAAACAGCACCGGAACGGUGUGCGAUGGAGGCGUCCUGUCGGCACAACAGACCCGCGUCAGCGAGCCACAAACGGACACGAACGUCCAACGUGAAGACUCACCACUCCGAUGGAGAAGUAAUUAUUGAUGAUUUCAUAUGGCACAGGGUCGCCCUUCUCUUCACCCUCCUCCGUGAUGACCUGCACGCUCCAGCGGUCCAUCAGAACCUGAGAGCUCCCCUCGAUGUCCUUCAGGAUCCUAUUCAGGCAUCGCGCGAGGUCAUUUCCUGUCCCCAGCGGAAGUACGGCGACCGGCGGCCGCACCAGCAGACCGGCUUUGUCUGAUUGGGUCGGAGACAUAAGAGAAGAGAAGUCUGUGCUCUACUGGGUCUCCAUUUGCAAGUGAUUUUGGGCAUCCAUUUUACCGAUGGCGUCCAGAAUCCAGCCGACAGUGCCGUCUCCGCCACAUACCAGGAUCCGGUAUUCCUGAAGGUUUCUGAA